CGUCCUGGAACACCCUUCGCCAGCCAAAGAGCCUGUGGAGCCCACCUCUAGUGAGGAUCCCAACCAUGGCCUGGACGGUGUUUCUUCUCGUGCUCCUUACUUAUGGCUCAGGAGCUGAUUCUCAGAUUGUGGUGACCCAGGAAACAUCACUGUCAGUGUCUGCAGGAGGUACACUCACACUCACUUGUGGCCUCAGCUCUGGGUCAGUCACUACAAGUAACUACCCCAGCUGGUACCAGCAGACCCCAGGCCAGGCUCCUAGCACAGUUAUCUACAACACAAACAGCCGCCCCUCUGGUGUCCCUGAUCGCUUCUCUGGAUCCGUCUCUGGGAACAAAGCCGUCCUCAUCAUCACAGGAACCCAGCCUGAGGACGAGGCUGACGACUACUCUGUUGCAGAACAUGUCAGUGGCAGCAGCUUCACUUACCCACAACAUCUCAGAUAA